UGGGGAAUCUUGCACAAUGGGGGAAACCCUGAUGCAGCGACGCCGCGUGAGCGAUGAAGUCCUUCGGGAUGUAAAGCUCUUUCGACGGGAACGAUAAUGACGGUACCCGGAGAAGAAGCUGCGGCUAACUACGUGCCAGCAGCCGCGGUAAUACGUAGGCAGCAAACGUUGUUCGGAAUUACUGGGCGUAAAGAGUGUGUAGGCGGCUUUGUAAGUCCGGUGUGAAAUCUCCCGGCUUAACUGGGAGGGUGCGCCGGAAACUGCAAGGCUUGAGUAUCGGAGAGGAAAGCGGAAUUCCUGGUGUAGCGGUGAAAUGCGUAGAUAUCAGGAGGAACACCGGUGGUGUAGGCGGCUUUCUGGACGAUCACUGACGCUGAGACACGAAAGCGUGGGGAGCAAACAGGAUUAGAUACCCUGGUUGUCCACGCCCUAAACGAUGCAUACUUGGUGUGAGUCCUUCAUUGGAUUCGUGCCGGAGCUAACGCGUUAAGUAUGCCGCCUGGGGAGUACGGUCGCAAGGCUGA
rnacentral:rRNA from 1 species